rnacentral:rRNA from 1 species
UACGUAGGGUGCGAGCGUUAAUCGGAUUUACUGGGCGUAAAGCGUGCGCAGGCGGCCCGAUAAGACAGGUGUGAAAUCCCUGGGCUCAACCUAGGAAUUGCGCUUGUGACUGGCGGGCUCGAGUACGGUAGAGGGGGGUGGAAUUCCUGGUGUAGCAGUGAAAUGCGUAGAGAUCAGGAGGAACACCGAUGGCGAAGGCAGCCCCCUGGGCCUGUACUGACGCUCAUGCACGAAAGCGUGGGGAGCAAACAGG